rnacentral:rRNA from 1 species
AAAUUGAAGAGUUUGAUCAUGGCUCAGAUUGAACGCUGGCGGCAGGCCUAACACAUGCAAGUCGAACGGUAACAGGAAGCAGCUUGCUGCUUCGCUGACGAGUGGCGGACGGGUGAGUAAUGUCUGGGAAACUGCCUGAUGGAGGGGGAUAACUACUGGAAACGGUGGCUAAUACCGCAUAACGUCGCAAGACCAAAGAGGGGGACCUUCUGGCCUCUUGCCAUCAGAUGUGCCCAGAUGGGAUUAGCU